GAGGGGGUUGGGAAGCUCGAAGCCGCAGGCCUGACUCUGGCCUUUGGCAUCCUGGGGUUGGCCUGGGCAAAUGUGUCGUGAGAGACGGAUUUGUUGUUCUCGGGAAGGCGGUUGCAGCACUCCCAGUAGACCAGGAGCUCCGGGAGGCAGGGCCGGCCCCACGUCCUCUGCGCACCACCCUGAGUUGGAUCCUCUGUGCGCCACCCCUGAGUUGGAUCCAGGGCUAGCUGCUGUUGACCUCCCCACUCCCACGCUGCCCUCCUGCCUGCAGCCAUGACGCCCCUGCUCACCCUGAUCCUGGUGGUCCUCAUGGGCUUACCUCUGGCCCAGGCCUUGGACUGCCACGUGUGUGCCUACAACGGAGACAACUGCUUCAACCCCAUGCGCUGCCCGGCUAUGGUUGCCUACUGCAUGACCACGCGCACCUACUACACCCCCACCAGGAUGAAGGUCAGUAAGUCCUGCGUGCCCCGCUGCUUCGAGACUGUGUAUGAUGGCUACUCCAAGCACGCGUCCACCACCUCCUGCUGCCAGUACGACCUCUGCAACGGCACCGGCCUUGCCACCCCGGCCACCCUGGCCCUGGCCCCCAUCCUCCUGGCCACCCUCUGGGGUCUCCUCUAAAGCCCCCGAGGCAGACCCACUCAAGAACAAAGCUCUCGAGACACACUGCUACACCCUCGCACCCAGCUCACCCUGCCUCACCCUCCACACUCCCUGCGACCUCCUCAGCCAUGCCCAGGGUCAGGACUGUGGGCAAGAAGACACCCGACCUCCCCCAACCACCACACGACCUCACUUCGAGGCCUUGACCUUUCGAUGCUGUGUGGGAUCCCAAAAGUGUCCGGCUUUGAUGGGCUGAUCAGCC
rnacentral:lncRNA from 10 species